UUCAAACCCUGUUGGAGUACAGAGUUUUUUCAGUCUUCAUUAACUCAAUCGCUAAACUUACGUUCAUAGCUGCGAGAUUCCAUCAACAAGUAUUAGUUGAAGUUAAAAUUUUAGAGCAUUUGCGUAAAAAGGACACGCAAAGCAGCUAUAAUCUCAUUCACAUGAUCGAAUAUUUCUAUUUUAGGUAAGUCCAAA